rnacentral:misc_RNA from 1 species
UUUUUUUGCGUACUUUCACGUCUGCUUUUUGCUGUGGCUUUUGCUGUGGUUUUUUUGCUUCGUUUACCCAUCUUGAAUAAUUACAUCCUCCUCAG